rnacentral:lncRNA from 1 species
ACUGGAGGCUAUUUCAGAACAGCCGUAUGUCUGGGAGUAAAUCUUGGAAUCCAAGGUGAAAUGCAGACUAAACUGCUCAUGUGAUACUAUAUUGGAUAAACAGAGGCACUCAUAUAUUUGGGCAGGCUGAGUACAACUACAUUCAUCUUCAACUUGAGAACAGUCUUUCUCUCCCUGGCCUGGGAUCUUCUUCCUGUUCUUCUGUAUCUCUAUGACUCUCAUGCGUCCUUGAAGACCCUACCAAGGUCCUGAUGGAUAUCUCCACUCCUCAAAUUGAGUAAGUUGCCUUGUCUCAGUGGGCAUAGGCCUGCUAUGCACCCAUUUCUUUAUGGUUUUCAUCACUUGAAAUGAAAGCAAGCAAUUCUCUGUUCAGAUGUCUGUCUCCUCACUAGAUGUGAGCUUUCUGAGGACAGUAACUUUUUUAUUCAACAGUGUGCUCCCCAUACUCAAAUAAAAUUAUGUAUGCAAAGGAGAAACUGUGCCCCAAAUUGAAGGCAAAUGGUAUGCACCCAAUAAUAAAGUGGGAGUAUGAGCCAUUUUGAUGACUGAAAUGUAGUUGUCCCUUGGUAUCUGAGGCAGAUUGUUUCCAGGACCCACUUCUGAUACCAAAAUCCAUGGAUGCUCAAGUCCCACAGUUGGUCCUGUGGAACAGUGUAUUUUCGAAUAGUGUAUUUCUAUCUGUGUUUGGUUGAAUCUGAAUAUGUGGAACACACAGAUAUGGAGGGCCGACUGUAUAAUUUGUUAUGCAUGUUGCAAAUCGAUAAUCAUUUAUGGACUAAAUCUAAUAAUCAACCAAACUGGGAAUUUUGCCAUAGUUGGGUUUUAUCAUCUGUAAUCCCUAGCUGAUUGAUAAAUAAUGUAGUAGUGAUCUAUUGUGUAACAAGUUACUCAACACUUAGAGGCUUAAAACAACACAGAUUUAUGAUAUCACGGUUUCCAUGGUUCGGGAAUCUGAGUGUGGCUUAGCUGGGUCUUCUGCUUUAGGAUCUCUCAUGGGCUGUAGUCAUCUCAGAUCGACUGGGAAGGAUCCACUUCUGAGCUCACUCACAUGGCUGAUGGCAGGAUUCAUUUCCUUGGAGGCUGGUGGACUGAGUCUUCAAUUCCUCAUGAGCUGUUGGCCAGAAGUCUCUCUUUGUUCAUUGCCAUGUGGGUCUCUCCAAAGAGUGUCUCACAACAUGGCAGCUGCUUUCAUCAGAGCAAGCAAGUGAAAGGCAGGAGAGAGCACCAACUAGAGAGCAUGCUAACAAGACAUAAAUCACAUUGUUUUAUAACCUAAUCUCAGAAGUGACAUCCCAUCACUUUUGCCAUAUUCUAUUGGAUACUAGGUCCAGCUGACACUUAAGGGGAGGGAAUUACACAAAGGUGUGAAUGCUAUGAGGUAGAGAUCAUUGGGAGUUAUGUCAGAGGCUGCCUACAACAAAUAAUAAGAAUUUAAGAAAAACACAAAAUGGAUAACACAGUAUCUGAUGGUACAAAAAUAAACCAUACUACUGUGAUUGAACUACUAUCAGAAUGGAUAUAUAGGAGAGACAAGAAAGUUUAAGCCUAAAUUAUUUAAUGCUUCCUCCUCCUCCUCCUCCUCCUUCUUCUUCUUGCAUUGGGAUCUCGCUCUGUCACACAGGCUGGAGUGCAGUGGCAUCAUAAUAGCUCAUUGCAGCCUUGACCUUCUAGGAUCAAGCAAUCCUCCUGCCUCAGCCUUCUGAAUAGUUGGAACUACAGCAGUGAGCCACUGUGCCUGGCUAAACCUUUAUUCUCAAUCCAUAAGCAUUCAUUGACAGUCUAUUUGGUACCAAGCAUCAUGAUGCACUCAGGGUACCCUAGAGAGGAAUAAAACUUUAUUUGUGACUGAAAAAGUUUAGAGAUUAGUGAAGAAAAUCAGUAUGGAAAAAAGUCAGUUUGGAAAAUUUCAUAAUACAAGUAUAUUAAUAGUGUUUUUGCAGUACAGUGAUAGAGUGCAUGUCAGGAAAUUUUACUUUGAAUUACUGAAAGUUUUGUGGAGAAUUGAGCAAUGAGAAAUAAUUCCCUAAGCAG